rnacentral:misc_RNA from 1 species
AACGCACCUUGCGCCCUUUGGUACUCCGAAGGGCAUGCCUGUUUGAGUGUCAUGAAAUCUCAACCUCCCCGGGUCUUUCCCGGGCCGGUUGGACGUGGGCGUUGCCGUCUGGCUCGCCUCAAAUGACUUAGCGGGACGACGGCUCCCCGACGUGCUCAAGUAUCGUCGCCACCCCGGAGCCCUGCUCACAACGCUACACUUCUGACUCUGACCUCAAAUCAGGUAGGACUACCCGCUGAACUUAA